rnacentral:lncRNA from 1 species
UAGGGAGAAAUGUCCCCACUGGAGGUCUGAGGGCUAGGGAGAAUGUCCCCACUGGAGGUCUGUGGGCUAGGGAGAAUGUCCCCACUGGAGGCCCAUGGCCUAGGGAGAAUGUUCCCACUGGAGGCCCAUGGCCUAGGGAGAAUGUCCCCACUGGAGGUCUGUGGCCUAGGGAGAAUGUCCCCACUGGAGGCCCUGGGCUAGGGAGAAAUUCUUGUGUUUUUGAGCUUCCCUUCUUCAAAUCACCUCCAGAUUCAAGUGUGAGUUCUGCGAGUUUGUUUGUGAGGACAAGAAAGCACUGUUGAACCACCAGCUGUCCCAUGUUAGCGACAAGCCCUUCAAAUGCAGCUUUUGUCCCUAUCGCACCUUCCGUGAGGACUUCCUGCUGUCUCAUGUGGCUG